rnacentral:lncRNA from 1 species
GCGCCGCCCUGGCGCGCCUUUGGCCACUAGACUUUUUUCAUCGUGCCGCACGCGCGCCUUCAUCACAGGGCGACACGGGCCAUCGCAAAGACUCACACAACAGGAGAAAAAAAUGAGAGCGCUGUGCGGCGAGCGAGCGCCUACAACCGGCCGCGACCGACCCUUCUUUUUUUUUCCUACACCUUGGCAUGAUUUAUUGGCCGCGGACGGCAGAGGCGCGCUGCGGGGACAUAAAGUACCAGGGCCACGCGUGGUGACGCUCUGUCCUGUGCCACACGAGGCGCGAAUGCGUGCGCUCGCUGUCGUCCAACACAAGGGCCAUCGUCACCUGCCGCGCUUCAAAGGGCACGGUCAACUGCCAGCCGCCAUGAAAGAGGGUGACCUCGCGCACGCUCAGAUGACGAACGAGGGCGGUCGACAGUGGCGGGUCGCGCCAUCCAAACGCACAUAAGACGUUGUCUCCGUGAAUGCGAGCGCACUCGGUCUCAUCGGUCCAUGGCACCGUGGCGCCGCGUUUUGACCACACGCACGCGUCGACGGUUUGACAUGCAGGGCAAAGCGCCACAGAGGCAGCGUAGACGGGCCACUCGCGGUGCUCUCUCGAAAACCAUACCACGUCGCCCAGACCACACUGGGUUGCGCAAUGUCGACACGUCGGCGAGACGGGCGCGCCGCAUGCCGGAGCGGCACCCACUUGCCGCACGGCCGGCUCGAUGGCGAGGCACGCGACGACAGCCGCAUCUGCCCUCGCGACACCACACAAAGAGACAUUGAGGGAAAAAAAAGAGUAAACAACAUGGACCUCUCCUUUUUUGCUCCAUCCACACAAGCACACGGCACUCUGGCGGUCUGCCAAGAGGGGAAAAAAGCAAAGGAAGGACAGCCUCUUUUUCACUCUCAAUGCAAUAGAACAGCGUCGGCCGUGUAAAAAAACGGCAGAGGCGGCAAUAAAGUGCGCCCGACGACCGGUCACGGCUCAAUAAAAAAAAAAGGAAGCGCGCGCAUGCGCGCGUGCGACACAGAC